rfam:TPA: Bos taurus chromosome 7, whole genome shotgun sequence.
GGGAAACGGGUUGAGGGGCCAGCCUCAGGCCCUGACAGCAAUUGGGGCA